rnacentral:lncRNA from 1 species
GGAUAUCUAUCAGGGUGGCCUCGAAAUCGAUAACCUGAAAAAUAAACAAAGAGAAUUAAAUGAAGUGAAAUUUAGAGGCGGGAAAGAUAUAUUUCAAGACUGAUAUAUUACCAAAAACUAUGAUCAAACGCAAAGGCCGAAUAUAUAUUGUUCUCUAGAAUAUCUUUGUAGCUCUGAUCAAACGCUAGAACAUCAGCUUCAUCAUCGGUUGACUGCUUUUGUCUUUAACACGUUUCCAAGAGAAAAACAGAUCACAAAAUGCAUACAUGCAAACAUCACUCAGUUCGUCUUCGUUUGGUAAUGUGGAUGAUCUUCCUUGGAAUAGUGUCGACUCAGCCAUUGUGGAGAGUAUAGAAGUUUAUUGUCAAAUGUUU